rnacentral:misc_RNA from 1 species
AUAUUAUUAUGUUGUACACUAAAAUGCUUUAAGAGUUUUUAGUAGCUGUUGAUCAUAGGACAUCAGGAUUUAUACGAGUUGCAAGAAUGCUAUAGUCUAUUUCUUCGAGUAGGAUGGAUGUACAUAACGCGUGCGUAUGUCUUUGAAUUUAGCUGAUGAAGGACCAGUGAAGCCCAUUUUCUAUAUGUAAUCCUUGUAGAUUUUUCUGAGUGCCUGCACAGUGUGUAAUCAUUUAACUUGGGUUAGAAAUAAAAA